GUGUAAUAUCAAAAUUAUAUAAUGAAUAAAUCAAUCCAAAAACCUUUAUUUUAGUUAAUAAUAUAGUGUAGGUAAUCAUCAAAUUUCAUAGAAAUAAGAUGUAGACCUUUCAGUAAUAGGUGAUUUGAUCACUGCUAUGGCACGGUCUCAAGGCAGGAUAACUCUUUAAGAAUUAAACGUAGCCAAUGCCAUAGACUCUAUUACCCUAUAUUAUUUAACUAAAAUAAACAAGAUAUAUAAAUAUUGCAGAUUUAAUCCUAUGGUAAUUAAAAUUAUUUAAUUCUAUAGAUGGUGUAGUUAAAUUGCAACUGAGUCUACUAGCAAAUUUAACUUGUAUGUGGUGCAAAAAUUGUGGUUUGGGUGCACCAAAAUACCUUAUGCUAUUAUAAAAUUCCAAGUGUAACUUUAUGUUAGUGCAAAACAGGGGGGUUUGGGUGCACUAACAGAUCACAAAAUAAUUAGCAAAGUCACAAAUGUAUUAUAUAUAUAUGGUGCAUGGGUUUUUAGAGUACCACAUAUAUCAAGAUAUAAUCAAAACACAAGCCAUCGUAAAUAAAUAAAAUAUUCAAACCAAGAUUAUUUAUUUACAUUGGCCAUAUCCAGCAGUACAGAGCAACAACAAUCAUACAAAUAUAGAUGUUCUUGCAAUCAACAAACUAGCAAAUCAUAUGCAAAUUAACUUAAUAUUACUGCUGAAAGAAAAAAUAAAAGAAAAACAAACUAUGCAAAGGCCAAGGGCGGCCCAGCC
rnacentral:lncRNA from 1 species